GGCUAUGACAGCACGGUGUGACUUUACCUGAGGGAGCUGAGCGAUGACGCGGUCCCGUCGGACAGGAGGAAGAACACUCAUGGCUGGAACUCGCACAGACAUGAAGCUUCAGUGUAAAUGUUCAGCUGAGCGACCUGUGCGGCGCGGUUUGUCCUCCUGAAACACAAACUCCUCGCUGUGAUUUAAACCCAUCCAGGCUGAGUGUCUGAAGGUGUUUUUAAAAGUGUGGCGUUUGUGGAGAUCCGAGCUUGAGGCCGAUCCACGGAAGUUGAGUUGAGGGGGGAGCAGCAGACUGGAGGAGCCGCUGCUGACUCAGACCUCCGGAUUUUUCUUUCUCCCCCCUUCAGUCUGACUGUCCUCCCACAUUCUCUCUGCUGGGUCCCCUGCUGGAGGAAAUGAGGAACGACAGGGAAUAAAAACAACCAGUCCAUGUAUGCAAACAACUUAUUUAUUCAUGUACUUAUUCAUAUUCUCUAUUAAACUUUUUUUCUUCCUUAUUUUUCUUUGUUUGUAAAGCAGGAGUAAAGAGUAAAUGUGAGACUGAGAUACAAAAGAGAGAAAUAUGUCAUUAAAAUAUGAAAAUAAGUGUCUUUUCCUUCUACAUAACACAAUCAUUUCUGCAAGAUGUGACUCAUAUGUUCACGCUUUUCACGGGUAUUUAAUGAAUGUGUCAUUAUUUGUGCAUUAAACUGGGGGAAAAAU